rnacentral:rRNA from 1 species
AAUGAGAGUUGUGCUAAGGUAGCAUAAUAAUUUGAUUUUUAAUUGAAAUCUGGGAUGAAAGGGGCAAUGAAAUUAUAACUUUUUUUAUAAUAAAUUAAAAUUUUAUUUACAAGUGAAAAAGCUUGUAUAAUUUUAUAAGACGAGAAGACCCCAAGAAUUGUUGUUAAUAUAAGGUUAUAAGAUCUUAAUUAGACUUAGCUGGGGCGGCUUGUAAGUAUAAUAACCUUACAAAUAAGAAACUACCAUAGGAUUAGUUUGAAGUUUACAUAAUUAUUAGAAAAUUACCUUGGGGAUAACAGCGUAAUUUAAAUUUAAAGUUCAUAUAAAAAUUAAAGUUUGCGACCUCGAUGUUGGAUUAAGAAAAUAGUAAAGCAGCAUUUACAAAAUAGGGUCUGUUCGACCUGUAUUUCUUACAUGAUCUGAGUUC